rnacentral:rRNA from 1 species
GUGUCAGCAGCCGCGGUAAGACGUAGGGAGCAAGCGUUGUCCGGAAUUACUGGGCGUAAAGAGCUCGUAGGCGGGACCGUAAGUCCGAGAGGAAAUCUCAAGGCUCAACUUUGGGGCUUUCUUGGAUACUGCGGUUCUUGAGGAUAUCAGAGGAAAGUAGAAUUCCCGGUGUAGCGGUGAAAUGCGUAGAUAUCGGGAGGAAUACCAGUGGCGAAGGCGACUUUCUGGGAUAUUCCUGACGCUGAGGAGCGAAAGCGUGGGGAGCAAACGGGAUUAGAUACCCCUGUAGUCC